UGGGGAAUAUUGGGCAAUGGAGGCAACUCUGACCCAGCAACGCCGCGUGAGUGAUGAAGGUCUUCGGAUUGUAAAACUCUUUAAGUGGGGACGAAGAAAGUGACUGUACCCACAGAAUAAGCCUCGGCUAACUACGUGCCAGCAGCCGCGGUAAUACGUAGGAGGCAAGCGUUAUCCGGAAUGACUGGGCGUAAAGGGUGCGUAGGUGGUUUGACAAGUUAGUAGCGUAAUUCCGGGGCUCAACUUCGGAACUACUACUAAAACUGUUGGGCUUGAGUGCAGGAGGGGUGAAUGGAAUUCCUAGUGUAGCGGUGGAAUGCGUAGAUAUUAGGAGGAACACCAGCGGCGAAAGCGAUUCACUGGACUGUAACUGACACUGAGGCACGAAAGCGUGGGGAGCAAACAGG
rnacentral:rRNA from 1 species